AACUUUUGGCAAUGGAUCUCUUGGCUCUCGCAUCGAUGAAGAACGCAGCGAAAUGCGAUAAGUAAUGGGAAUUGCAGAAUUCAGUGAAUCAUCGAAUCUUUGAACGCACCUUUCGCUCCUUGGUAUUCCGAGGAGCAUGCCUGGUUGAGUGUCAUUAAAUUCUCAACCUUCCAUCUUUUAUGAGCUAGGUUAGGCUUGGAUGUGGGGGGUUGCGGGCUUCAUCAAUGAGGUCGGCUGUCCUUAAAUGCGUUAGCGGAACUUUUGUGGACCGUCUAUUGGUGUGAUAAUUAUCUACGCCGUGGAUGUGAAGCAGCUUUAUGAAAUUUUGCUUCUAACCGUCCAUUGACUUAGAAAAUUUUGACAAUUUGACCUCAAAUCAGGUCGGACUACCCGCUGAACUAAAGCAUAUCAAUAAGCGGAGGCU
rnacentral:misc_RNA from 1 species